rnacentral:lncRNA from 1 species
AUUGAAUAGUCAGCCAAGGUUUAAUUAUUUCUGUAAAAAUAAACAAGCACACCCAUCUCCUUAGUAUUCAAAUUUACAGUCCCUUUAAGUAAAUGACAAAUUGCACGCACACUAAAGAAUCACUUUAAAAUAAAUUUCUUUAUGAUUUAUUGUUAGUGAAUGUUUGGUUUUAUACCCAUUUUAUACAUAACUAGAGUCAUAGACAUACUCUCAGGUGGAAGGAAGGGGGUCUUGAGUGGAGGAUGUUUAAGUAGCUCUGUGCAGGGCAAGCUAUAUCGCUGGGCUUCUUUUUAUUUUUGUUUCGAGAUGGAGUUUUAUUGAUUUACUCAGACUGAGUCUAUUCUAUAUUCCAGGCAGGAUUUGAAUUUGUGGUCCGAACUGUUUAGUUUCUCCAGCAGCUGGGAUUACAGGCUUUUUGCAGCAGCUCAGCUGGGACUCCUUUUGAACUGUUGUUUAUGAAACAAGGACUCUGAGACUGCAUUUGGCGCAGAAAACCAAACCCAAGACAAUCAAAUCCAAAACAACACACCGACUCUUGACCUGCCGAUACUCAAUGGUCAAGUAGAAGCAAGACCAAGCUUGUCUUCUUUGCAUUUAUUUUGUGUGUGUCCAGUUUGGGGGUCCAGUUCAGACUCCACUCUGCACACAGCACUGGACAGCAUUUAGUUGUAUCACUGGAACCAACAAACACGCUGCCUCAGUUGACUUCUCCAUGAAAUAACUUGGAAAAGUUACUCGGGACGCUCCGGCUACUCUUCUCUCCACUCUAUAGGCAUGGAAAUCUUGGCACGAUGAGAAUUUUCAGUAACUUUUUCUGAAGAAAUAACGUCUCAGUGCUGUUUUGCUUGGCUCAGCUCAGUAAUGCAAGAGGACACUGUACAAAGUAAACAGAAUGAAGGUUACCCUGCUGCUGAAAAUAACUGUGUCCUGACCAUCUAAUAUGUUUGAUGACAGACUAAAGAAUUGAAAUUUGCCUUUUGGGUAGAACACCUUUCUAUUUCAUGUUGAAGAUGAUUUUAUUACAAUAUUAAUUGGAGCUGGACAUUGGGUUAUAUACCUGAAGGCAGAGGUCAUAGCAUGCAAGCUUGAAUCCAGGACCUGCAGGCUCGUGACACCCACACCUGGUAGCAAAAGAUGCCUGGAAUUUCAGACCUCCAAUCUGACAGCCAGAAGAAGGACCAUUCAGAGCAUCUCAAUGCCAGAGCUAUGCAAAGACAUACUGACAGAAUAGUAGAUCCAGGAGUGAAAGAAACCCUGAAAGCCAUCAAUGUUCAUCUGCGGCAAAAUUCCUGAAAGCGAAAGACUCCCUGGAGCGCAUCUAACCAAGGAUGGGAAGCAUUUAUCGAGAAAUGACAUUUCCCCUGCCAUCAGCUGCCUUUGUGGAUGGCUCCAUCUGAGUUUCCUGGCAACAAUUUUAAAUAUGAAAGUGUCAAGCUCCGUGCUUAUGGAAGAUGACCUGCACCGGGGCCGAGCCUCUGCUGAGCCUGUGAUGAGCUGUUUGAGAGAGGGAUCAAUGGCUUGCAGGUUACCAGGCAGAGUAAUGAAAAGAACUGGGACGAAUGCAAGCAAAAGUCAGCUGGAGAAAUAAGGCUAUUGAGUGAGAAUGGCUACCAGGAGGGCAAAGCUGCAGGAAGCGGGGACAUGGGGCAGUAGGCAGUUACUGGUAGACACUGAGUGGGAAUGACCAG